AUUGAACGCUGGCGGCAGGCCUAACACAUGCAAGUCGAGCGAGCGGCGGACGGGUGAGUAAUGUCUGGGAAACUGUCUGAUGGAGGGGGAUAACUACUGGAAACGGUAGCUAAUACCGCAUACCAUCAGAUGUGCCCAGAUGGGAUUAGCUAGUAGGUGGGGUAACGGCUCACCAGGGCGACGAUCCCUAGCUGGUCUGAGAGGAUGACCAGCCACACUGGAACUGAGACACGGGCCAGAGGCGUACGGGAGGCAGCAGUGGGGAAGAUUGCACAAGGGGCGCAAGCAUGAUGCAGCCAUGCCGCGUGUGUGAAGAAGGCCUUCGGUUUGUAAAGCACGUUCAGCGGGGAGGCGUUACCAGCAGAAGAAGCACCGGCUAACUCCGUGCCAGCAGCCGCGGUAAUAC
rnacentral:rRNA from 1 species